GGAAUAUUGGACAAUGGGCGAAAGCCUGAUCCAGCCAUGCCGCGUGUGUGAAGAAGGUCUUCGGAUUGUAAAGCACUUUAAGUUGGGAGGAAGGGUUGUAGAUUAAUACUCUGCAAUUUUGACGUUACCGACAGAAUAAGCACCGGCUAACUCUGUGCCAGCAGCCGCGGUAAUACAGAGGGUGCAAGCGUUAAUCGGAAUUACUGGGCGUAAAGCGCGCGUAGGUGGUUUGUUAAGUUGGAUGUGAAAUCCCCGGGCUCAACCUGGGAACUGCAUUCAAAACUGACUGACUAGAGUAUGGUAGAGGGUGGUGGAAUUUCCUGUGUAGCGGUGAAAUGCGUAGAUAUAGGAAGGAACACCAGUGGCGAAGGCGACCACCUGGACUAAUACUGACACUGAGGUGCGAAAGCGUGGGGAGCAAACAGGAUUAGAUACCCGAG
rnacentral:rRNA from 1 species